GUAGGUGGCAAGCGUUGUCCGGAAUUAUUGGGCGUAAAGCGCGCGCAGGUGGUUCCUUAAGUCUGAUGUGAAAGCCCCCCGGGCUCAACCGGGGAGGGUCAUUGGAAACUGGGGAACUUGAGUGCAGGAGAGGAAAGUGGAAUUCCACGUGUAGCGGUGAAAUGCGUAGAUAUGUGGAGGAACACCAGUGGCGAAGGCGACUUUCUGGCCUGUAACUGACACUGAGGCGCGAAAGCGUGGGGAGCAAACAGGAUUAGAUACCCUGGUAGUCCACGCCGUAAACGAUGAGUGCUAAGUGUUGGGGGGUUUCCGCCCCUCAGUGCUGCAGCUAACGCAUUAAGCACUCCGCCUGGGGAGUACGGUCGCAAAGACUG
rnacentral:rRNA from 1 species